CAUAUUGUUUACCUUCGGUUUUAAACCGUAUUUCUCUGCAAUUCUCUCGGUGUGCGGAGACGAAAAUAACGUCGUCUUCUCGCCGCGGUCCUUCGCUGAUCGGCAGCGGAGGUUCUGCGGGGAGGAUGGGCUCUAAAUUGCCUCGGAAAACGGCCGGAUUUAUGCUGCUCCUCACCGUGCUAUCGAUAGCGUCUGUGUCGCAACAGGUGUCGCACUUAUGGAUCAUAUUACACACUUCCGGAGUUUCCCCCCUCCCCUCUCCGGAUGCAAUUCGUCACGCUUAUGGAUCAUAUUACACACUUCCGGUGGGGUCAAAAGGUCAAGGCUAGGGUCAUCAAUCAAAUUUUGACACAAGAAAACCAGAAGGUGAGUGAGGAGGAGGGACCUGAACAGAUGAGGCAGAAAAAGAUAAACUAUGAAAGUGAGGUCGUAGUGGAAGAAGGAGAAAGUGAGCCGGUCUUAACAGCAAUAGAAGAGAAAGAUGUUCAUGGCCGAGAAGAGCAGAGUCAUGAAGACAAAAGAGAAUCACAAGCGGAGACCUUUCAUUUCCACAGAGAAACAGACACACAACAAGAAAGACCAACAAAGACUGAUGUGGACAUAAAACAGCCGGAUGCUGAGAAGAAGAAAACAAAGAGAACAAAUAAACAAGAGAACAAGAGAGAAGAACUGGAGGAAAAACAGAAGCAAGACGUAAACUACGGACAGCGUCAAUCAGAGAUAAAAACAAAAAAACAAAGACAAAGAGAAACAGAAGAACCAGAGAGGAGAAAGCUUCAAUCAGAGAUGAUGACAAGAAAAGAGGAAAAUGAGACAGAGCUCAAGACACAAACAGACACAGACAGACAACAUUGUUUAGAAAGCAUCACACAAGACAAGAGUGAGGGAGAGCCUCAAGAAAAACCUUCACAGGGAAGCAAGUUGGACACAGUGGGAACAACAGACUGGAAACAUCAGGAAGAGACGAGUGAGAAAGACAACACGAGUCCAACAGUCAGCAACAAUGUUACAGAGAGGACACAUCUCAAAACAAAGCGAGACAUAUCAAGAGACGAAAACCAGAUGAAGCUUCAAUCACAGACAUGAACAGAAGAAGAGUUUAUCAUCCCUCUCUGGAUCCACUUCACACAAGUUUGUAAAGGUGUUUUUUUUCCUGUUUUUUGGUGUAUCUGUCUAGGAUCUGUGCAUUCUUUUUUUAUUGUUCACUUUUGCUGUAAUGUUACUUUUUUUAUAUAAAUAAAUGGUAAAUGGCCUGUAUUUGUAUAGCGCUUUACUAGGACCCCAAAGCGCUUUACACAACCAGUCAUCCACCCAUUCACACACUGGUGAUGCCAAGCUACAUUGUAGCCACAGCCACCCUGGGGUGCACUGACAGAGGUGAGACUGCCGGACACUGGCGCCACCGGGCCCUCUGACCACCACCAGUAGGCAAUGGUAUCUCAAAGUCCAAUUAAGCUUCACUCAAGGCUAUAAUUUAAAAAGUGUAAAACUUUUACCUGUAAAUUUAGCAUACACCGAUUUGUUGAGUUACAUAUUAGUGAGACCACACAACUCAGUCUCAAUCCUAUGAAUUUUCUUUUUUAAAAAAGAUUUUGUUUUUGUUUGUUUUUUUAAUCUCAUUACAGUUUAGCAGGCUCACCUGUUAAACACAUGUAGCUGCAGGUCUUUGGAGGAUAGUUUUUAUUGCAUUGUUAUACAAAAGUGACUGUUGAUUGCCUUGGGCUAAUAUUGAUCUGUAUAGACUCUUUGUGAUUGUUUAGUGACCUCAUCUCCACACAUUGAACUUAUAUUGUAUACAACAGUCUCCACA